AACGCAACUGGCGCCGGUUUACCGGCAUGCCUGUUUCCGUGUGCUAGCAGAGUAAAAUAUCAUUAUAAAAUAUAAUGCGAUUGAGGUACAUUUAUGUUCUUCUUUCGUUAAAUAUGAAGGUGUGAAAGAUGAGUAAUCUAUCUCACUGGCAAACGAAUUAGUCAUGCUUGUUCAUGAUAUCGUUUAACCAAUGCUAAAGGUUUUUGCUUAGCUAUAAAUCACAUCUAAUCAAGUAAAUCUCUCCAAAUUUGGCAUCUGAAAUCAGACAAGGAUACCCGCUGAACUUAA
rnacentral:misc_RNA from 1 species